GUUGAUUUUUGUUUUAGUGUUAUAGUUAAAAUUAUAAUUUUUCAUAUCAGAUGACAGUGAAUUAAAUCAAGGGUGUGCCUCCUGAACCAAUUGUACUAUUUGUAACUUUACUCCUGUUAGUAAGAUUAUAUGCAAUUCUUAUUUUGAUCCACUUUUUCUUUUUGUAUAUUUGGUCAUGAGCAUCCGUUGUAUCUGCAUUGUGAAUGUACAAAAAAAAGAGCAGCAGUAGUGAAAGAAAAGACAACAGUAUGAAAUGUAAAGUGUGAAGUAACUAAAGGGGCAGAUAUUAUAAGACAUGUUCUUCUCUGCUCCGUUUCAUUCAUUUCAUACUGUAUUGGCUUGGCGGAUUUGUUGUGAUUGUAUGAUGUCACUUUUGAAUGAAAUAAGAACAUGAAAAGCUAGGAGUCAUGGGCGCGUUUACACGAUCAGGAAAUUGAAUAACUUUUGAUGCAAGUUAAUAUGUUUUCAUGGCGUGGCUGUGUUGUGCCAUUCCUCUUACAUUUUACUUUUACAUUAAACAGAAAUAUUGUGACCCUCAGGUGAAGAAUGGUGUCAGAGGAGAAGGAGCGAGAGGUGGCGUGGAGGGAGCUGCGCAGGAGGAAGAGGAUGGAGGAGGUGGAGGAGCUGACCACUGCGGGACACAACGCUCUGUAAUAGGGACAAACCCAGGAGGCGCUACCGUUUCAGAGGAUCAAAGGAGACUGAAGGCAGCCCGCCAGGUUUCCACGCAGCGGCUUAGGACUAAUUCUACAUCUGCAUGGGACAGACCUUUGCCAAUCAAACGAAACAGGUGGAGAGGGGUCACCUGCCAGCCCCAAGUAUUGGAGACAGUGAUGGCAGCCAAGGACUAAUGCCUCCUCUAUGAGGAGGUAAUCUACCUGCUGGACUCCCUGCUUCGGACAUUCCUACAGAAGGGUGUGUAUGGCAUCACCACACCAUAUGAUGUGUUGACUGCAAGGGUGAAAGAACUCCUGGGACUUAUCAAAGCAAUUUUGAAAAAAACAAACAAAAAAAGGGGAUUGCCUGAUAUGUAAAUGAACUGUGGAAGUUGUUGAGAUUGUUUAAGUCACAUUGUGGCAUUGGAGUUUAUGCUGUGGCAAUAAGUACCAAAAACAGUCCAAAAGUCGGAUACAGGCAACAUGUUUGCAUUAACUUUUCCACAAGUUUAGGUUUUGACCAGAUUCUGGACUCUCUCGUAUUCAGACACUAAAACAAUAACAUAUUUUUGCAGAAGUGCAUAAAAGCUCGAUCAAUAUGCACUUCCAGUGGUGCAGAAGUGACAUUCACCUCCGGGUUAAUGUAAUCUUUAUACAAUGUUUUACGUGAUAGCGUUUCAACCAAUGAGCAUCCAGAUUGACAAAUCAAGUAAUAAUGCAUUUUAUUGUCACUGCAUACAUGUAAGAUGUUUGCUUUAAAUUGUUCAGAGGUUGUUUUGACUGCUUAAAGCCAAACUAUGACGAGUCUAUUGAAACAACUGUUUGUGAUACUGCCUUUUGUGUUAUAACCAACAAACAACCCUAACUACACUUAUAAAUUGUUUUACAUAUGUGUACUAUUGUUGAAUUGCAGUCGGAAGACAAACAGCACUGGAGGUAUAACCUUGGUUGGUACAUUAUUUGAUAUGGGUACUAGAAUUAAAAUCACAGAAGUAUUAACCAAUAUUAAUGGUUCCAUUUGUUUGGUUAAAUUUAACCAAUCUGGUUGGUGUCUAACCGAUCUAUUGGUUAAAACAACCAAUCUUAAAAAUGGUAGUGUUUUUAACUAAUCUUGGUUAAAACACUACCAUUUUAGAUAUUGUUUUUUCUAUUCA
rnacentral:lncRNA from 1 species